rnacentral:rRNA from 1 species
AUGGACCUGUUCCGCAAGUGCAUGGAGCCCGUGGAGAAGUGCCUGCGCGACGCCAAGAUGGACAAGAGCACCGUGCACGACGUCGUGCUCGUCGGCGGAUCCACCCGCAUCCCCAAGGUGCAGCAGCUGCUCCAGGACUUCUUCAACGGCAAGGAGCUGUGCAAGAGCAUCAACCCCGACGAGGCCGUGGCCUACGGCGCCGCCGUGCAGGCCGCCAUCCUCAGCGGCGAGGGCAACGAGAAGGUGCAGGACCUGCUCCUGCUCGACGUCACGCCGCUGUCCCUCGGCCUGGAGACCGCCGGCGGCGUGAUGACGACGCUCAUCCCGCGGAACACCACCAUCCCGACCAAGAAGGAGCAGAUAUUCUCCACCUACUCGAACAACCAGCCGGGCGUCCUGAUCCAGGUGUUCGAGGGCGAGCGCGCGCGGACCAAGGACAACAACCUGCUGGGCAAGUUCGAGCUGUCCGGCAUCCCCCCGGCCCCCCGCGGCGUGCCCCAGAUCACCGUCUGCUUCGACAUCGACGCCAACGGCAUCCUGAACGUGUCGGCCGAGGACAAGACCGCCGGCGUGAAGAACAAGAUCACCAUCACCAACGACAAGGGGCGGCUGAGCAAGGAGGACAUCGAGAAGAUGGUGCAGGAGGCGGAGCGGUACAAGGCCGAGGACGAGGAGCUGAAGAAGAAGAAGAUCGAGGACGCCAUCGACGGCGCCAUCAGCUGGCUCGACACCAACCAGCUCGCGGAGGCGGACGAGUUCGAGGACAAGAUGAAGGAACUGGAGGGCGUCUGCAACCCCAUCAUCGCCAAGAUGUACCAGGGCGCUGGCGCCGACAUGGGAGGCAUGGGCGGUGCCGCCGGCAUGGAUGAGGAUGCGCCGGCCGGGGGAAGCGGUGCGGGGCCCAAGAUCGAGGAGGUCGAUUAA